rnacentral:rRNA from 1 species
AGCCUUCAGCAAACCUGAAACAAGUAUUGAAGGUGAUGCCUGCCCGGUGACCCGAUGUUUAACGGCCGCGGUAUCCUAACCGUGCAAAGGUAGCGCAAUCAAUUGUCCCAUAAAUCGAGACUAGUAUGAAUGGCUAAACGAGGUCUUAACUGUCUCUUGCAGGCAAUCGGUGAAAUUGAUCUCCCUGUACGAAAGCAGGGAUAAACCCAUAAGACGAGAAGACCCUGUGGAACUUCAAAACCAGCGGCCACCCUAGAAUACAUAAACCCCCACCGGGCUCACUUACACUCUAAGGCACUGGCCCGCGUUUUUCGGUUGGGGCGACCUUGGAGCAAAACAGAACCUCCAAAAAUUGGACCAUCCCUCUAGACUGAGAGCGACCCCUCAACGUGCUAAUAGCAACCAGACCCAAUAUAAUUGAUCUAUGGACCAAGCUACCCCAGGGAUAACAGCGCAAUCUCCUCCGAGAGUCCGUAUCGACGAGGAGGUUUACGACCUCGAUGUUGGAUCAGGACAUCCUAGUGGUGCAGCCGCUACUAAGGGUUCGUAUGUUCAACGAUAAACAGUCCU